GGACAAGAUGUGAUCUGGCUAUGACACGUGCCAUAUUAUUGAUCACUAAGGUUGAUUUGAGUGACCUAGCUGGUUUGGCAAGUGUCCCCUUCCUCUCUCAAAACUCCAUAUGUGUUCUCCCCCAGCCUCCAACCUGUGUGCUCAGUAAAACUGGAUUACCAUUCCAGAUGAAAGAGUAUAUAAUCUUCAGUCAGU
rnacentral:snRNA from 1 species